AGUGGACGCUGGCGGUAGGCCUAACACAUGCAAGUCGAACGGCAGCACAGUAAGAGCUUGCUCUUACGGGUGGCGAGUGGCGGACGGGUGAGGAAUACAUCGGAAUCUACUUUUUCGUGGGGGAUAACGUAGGGAAACUUACGCUAAUACCGCAUACGACCUACGGGUGGAAGCAGGGGAUCUUCGGACCUUGCGCGAUUGAAUGAGCCGAUGUCGGAUUAGCUAGUUGGCGGGGUAAAGGCCCACCAAGGCGACGAUCCGUAGCUGGUCUGAGAGGAUGAUCAGCCACACUGGAACUGAGACACGGUCCAGACUCCUACGGGAGGCAGCAGUGGGGAAUAUUGGACAAUGGGCGCAAGCCUGAUCCAGCCAUACCGCGUGGGUGAAGAAGGCCUUCGGGUUGUAAAGCCCUUUUGUUGGGAAAGAAAAGCAGCAGGUUAAUACCCCGCUGUUCUGACGGUACCCAAAGAAUAAGCACCGGCUAACUUCGUG
rnacentral:rRNA from 1 species